rnacentral:rRNA from 1 species
GACCAGCCAUGCCGCGUGCAGGAUGACGGUCCUAUGGAUUGUAAACUGCUUUUGUACGGGAAGAAACACUCCUUCGUGAAGGAGCUUGACGGUACCGUAAGAAUAAGGAUCGGCUAACUCCGUGCCAGCAGCCGCGGUAAUACGGAGGAUCCAAGCGUUAUCCGGAAUCAUUGGGUUUAAAGGGUCCGUAGGCGGUCUUGUAAGUCAGUGGUGAAAGCCCAUCGCUCAACGGUGGAACGGCCAUUGAUACUGCAGGACUUGAAUUAUUGGGAAGUAACUAGAAUAUGUAGUGUAGCGGUGAAAUGCUUAGAGAUUACAUGGAAUACCAAUUGCGAAGGCAGGUUACUACCAAUUUAUUGACGCUGAUGGACGAAAGCGUGGGUAGCGAACAGGAUUAGAUACCCUG